GACCCUUUACCCCUGCCUGCCCUGAACCUGAAACUGCCUGCCGUUCUGGACCCUUUACCCCUGCCUGCCCUGAACCUGAAACUGCCUGCCGUUCUGGACCCUUUACCCCUGCCUGCCUUUGACAUGUCGUUUGCCUGCCCCUGUCAGUACCCUGUCUAGCCUGCCAGGGCAAAGACUGUGGCGCCGGUGUUGAAGCCUAUCAAAGUUGUUUCACCAUGGCACAUGAUCGGACCUAGGGGUUCUGCCCAACACCCAGACAUGGAUCUACCUGAUGUCCUCCAUUACCUGCUCUCCAGGACCUAGGGGUUCUGCCCAACACCCAGACAUGGAUCUACCUGAUGUCCUCCAUUACCUGCUCUCCAGGACCUAGGGGUUCUUCCCAACACCCAGACAUGGAUCUACCUGAUGUCCUCCAUUACCUGCUCUCCAGGACCU